GGGCGGGUACCAAAGCGGUCAACUGGGCCAGACUGUAAAUCUGGUGGCACUGCCUUCGGGGGUUCGAAUCCCUCCCCGCCCACCA
rnacentral:tRNA from 1 species